rnacentral:rRNA from 1 species
GAACGGUAGCACGAAGGAGCUUGCUCCUUGGGUGACGAGUGGCGGACGGGUGAGUAAUGCUCGGGAAUCUGGCUUAUGGAGGGGGAUAACUACGGGAAACUGUAGCUAAUACCGCGUAAUAUCUUCGGAUUAAAGUGUGGGACCGUAAGGCCACAUGCCAUAAGAUGAGCCCAAGUGGGAUUAGGUAGUUGGUGGGGUAAAGGCCUACCAAGCCGACGAUCUCUAGCUGGUCUGAGAGGAUGACCAGCCACACUGGAACUGAGACACGGUCCAGACUC